UUAGAACUUGGAAAUGAGAGGAAGAAGAAGAAGGUUUUAAUGACCGUUCGAUGAGUUCUGAUCUACAGUUUCCAGUUUCACUCCCAAAAACUCCAUUUUUGCUUCCACUUCCAGUCUCCAUCUCUCUCUUUCCUCUCCCUCUACGGUGAUUUUCUUUCUUGAUUUUCGAGCCAUAUUCUCUAACUUUAAGCUUUCCUCUCUUCCCCUUUCCAUCGCCGUCUUCGUCUUCAACCUCCGUUUAAUCCUGUCACUCAGCCGCCAGGGUUUUUUUAUUUAACGAAGAAUGGAUUUUGCGCGAUGUACUGAUGAAUCAAAGGAAUCAGAAAAUUUAUCUACCAAAUGUUGUAAUAAAGUUGAAGCUCAGCCUGAGAUUGUUGAGCUAAGGGCUCCUCUUGGACCUUCAACACCUGAUGCUGAUAGAGAGAGUGGUGAUUUUCUUUCUGAUUCUAAAUCCCCACUCACUCAGGUUGUGACUAGCAAACCUCUUUCGUUAACUUGUAUAGAUUCUUUGGAUGAGAAGAUUGAAGCCCCCUUAGAGGAUUCUGACUCUUUUGAUCCUCUUUGUAGUCCUCGUACUCCUAAGGAUGGUGUUUUUGAUCCCUUUUCCCCUGGCCCUGCUCAUUUGGCUUUAGCUCCUAUCUCUAGAAAGUGUUUUAAUGGCUCUGUUGGAUUUGUUGCUCGCCGCCUUCAAUUUGGUUCUUCUUCUUCUUCUUCUUUUUUGCAAAUAGUGGAAGCUGAAGAAGAACAAUCCAUUUCUGAUAAUGAGCUGUUGGAGGCAGUUUAUGAGAAUCUCUUGGAAGUUAUUGUUUCCCAUCAAGCCGAGUCCUCUCUUGGUCAGCUAUCAAGCUCUCAAAGUGAUUCUUCUGAUUGUAGUACCCCUCCUACUUCGUUUGUGAGUGGGGUCGCUCAAACUUGCCCUGCUGCGCCAGUCAAGCCGUUGAGAAAAUUGCGAAAUCUGGACAUGGGUUUGUGCAGAAAGCUUGAGUUCUGAAUAUUGAUGCACUUCUAAUUAGCUUCCAAUCAUUGCAUAGAAGAAUGUAGAUCCUGGAGAAAAUGGACUGAUGCAAACAAACAGAAGAAAGUGUAGGGUCCAAAUGAUGCUUCCAUUUGCAGUGCAUUGAAAUGAGAAAUGUUGGCAAGAAGAACUCAGAAUGAGGGAUUGGUGGCAGUCAGAUUCUCUUGGCCUAGGAAUGGGUGUUGCUUUCUUCUCUUGUGCAGGCAGAAAGUGGAAACUGUCAACAAUGGGUAUACUUACAGUCUUAAAAGUACAUAAAUUUUUUAGAUUUGAUUUAGUCUUAACUUUUUAUCUAGUUGAUAGUUGGAUAAGCUCAGUUUCACUUUAAAGUUUAAAUUUCAUUAAAUUAAAUAUUGACUCCAAAUAAAAUACCUGAAGUUGGUUUAAUAUCGAAAAAAGUAAAACUUUGUGGGAAUGGAUUCAAAUUCCGAUUUUCCAUGGUGAUCAUCUACCUACAAUAUGUGUCAUGAACCAAUGAAAAGUCCUACGAGUUUUAUGACAUCAAUAUACCAUGGAUGUGAAAUGUUUCUUUUCCAAAAAAAAUAUACUAUAGAUGGAAACUACGAGACUAAUAUCAUUUUUAUAUUGAUUUUUUAUUUUAAAGAGAAGAUUUGUAACCUAAUUAUAUGGGAUUUUGUUGCUUUGACGAGAUACUUAUUUUUUUCAAUAGUUUAUUAUUGAAUGUGUUAGUUGGAUCUGGGUAUCCGAUGUUUUUUUAUUCAUUUGACUUUGUGGUUCAUUUAGAAUAUUUUGUGUAUGUAAGAUUUGGAUCAUUAAGGUGAUUUGUUGGUUCAAUUGGAACCCAAUUAUUCA